rnacentral:rRNA from 1 species
GACGUAGGGGGCCAGCGUUGUUCGGAAUUACUGGGUGUAAAGGGUUCGUAGGCGGUGCGGCAAGUUGGGAGUGAAAUCUCUGGGCUUAACCCAGAGGCUGCUUCCAAAACUGCUGUGCUUGAGUGUGGGAGAGGCGCGUGGAAUUGCAGGUGUAGCGGUGAAAUGCGUAGAUAUCUGCAGGAGCACCCGUGGCGAAAGCGGCGCGCUGGACCACUACUGACGCUGAGGAACGAAAGCUAGGGGAGCAAACAGG